AGGAUUAUAGUUUAGUGGUAGAGUGCAUGCUUAGCAGGCAUGAGGUCCUGGGUUCAAACCCCAGUACCUC
rnacentral:tRNA from 1 species